rnacentral:rRNA from 1 species
CUGUAAGCCUGUGAAGGUGGCCUGUGAGGGUUGCUGGAGGUAUCAGAAGUGCGAAUGCUGACAUAAGUAACGAUAAAGCGGGUGAAAAGCCCGCUCGCCGGAAGACCAAGGGUUCCUGUCCAACGUUAAUCGGGGCAGGGUGAGUCGACCCCUAAGGCGAGGCCGAAAGGCGUAGUCGAUGGGAAACAGGUUAAUAUUCCUGUACUUGGUGUUACUGCGAAGGGGGGACGGAGAAGGCUAUGUUGGCCGGGCGACGGUUGUCCCGGUUUAAGCGUGUAGGCUGGUUUUCCAGGCAAAUCCGGAAAAUCAAGGCUGAGGCGUGAUGACGAGGCACUACGGUGCUGAAGCGACAAAUGCCCUGCUUCCAGGAAAAGCCUCUAAGCAUCAGGUAACAUCAAAUCGUACCCCAAACCGACACAGGUGGUCAGGUAGAGAAUACCAAGGCGCUUGAGAGAACUCGGGUGAAGGAACUAGGCAAAAUGGUGCCGUAACUUCGGGAGAAGGCACGCUGAUAUGUAGGUGAAGCGACUUGCUCGUGGAGCUGAAAUCAGUCGAAGAUACCAGCUGGCUGCAACUGUUUAUUAAAAACACAGCACUGUGCAAACACGAAAGUGGACGUAUACGGUGUGACGCCUGCCCGGUGCCGGAAGGUUAAUUGAUGGGGUUAGCGGCAACGCGAAGCUCUUGAUCGAAGCCCCGGUAAACGGCGGCCGUAACUAUAACGGUCCUAAGGUAGCGAAAUUCCUUGUCGGGUAAGUUCCGACCUGCACGAAUGGCGUAAUGAUGGCCAGGCUGUCUCCACCCGAGACUCAGUGAAAUUGAACUCGCUGUGAAGAUGCAGUGUACCCGCGGCAAGACGGAAAGACCCCGUGAACCUUUACUAUAGCUUGACACUGAACAUUGAGCCUUGAUGUGUAGGAUAGGUGGGAGGCUUUGAAGUGUGGACGCCAGUCUGCAUGGAGCCGACCUUGAAAUACCACCCUUUAAUGUUUGAUGUUCUAACGUUGGCCCGUAAUCCGGGUUGCGGACAGUGUCUGGUGGGUAGUUUGACUGGGGCGGUCUCCUCCUAAAGAGUAACGGAGGAGCACGAAGGUUGGCUAAUCCUGGUCGGACAUCAGGAGGUUAGUGCAAUGGCAUAAGCCAGCUUGACUGCGAGCGUGACGGCGCGAGCAGGUGCGAAAGCAGGUCAUAGUGAUCCGGUGGUUCUGAAUGGAAGGGCCAUCGCUCAACGGAUAAAAGGUACUCCGGGGAUAACAGGCUGAUACCGCCCAAGAGUUCAUAUCGACGGCGGUGUUUGGCACCUCGAUGUCGGCUCAUCACAUCCUGGGGCUGAAGUAGGUCCCAAGGGUAUGGCUGUUCGCCAUUUAAAGUGGUACGCGAGCUGGGUUUAGAACGUCGUGAGACAGUUCGGUCCCUAUCUGCCGUGGGCGCUGGAGAACUGAGGGGGGCUGCUCCUAGUACGAGAGGACCGGAGUGGACGCAUCACUGGUGUUCGGGUUGUCAUGCCAAUGGCACUGCCCGGUAGCUAAAUGCGGAAGAGAUAAGUGCUGAAAGCAUCUAAGCACGAAACUUGCCCCGAGAUGAGUUCUCCCUGAGACUUAGAGUCUCCUGAAGGAACGUUGAAGACGACGACGUUGAUAGGCCGGGUGUGUAAGCGCAGCGAUGCGUUGAGCUAACCGGUACUAAUGAACCGUGAGGCUUAACCUUACAACGCCGAAG